rnacentral:rRNA from 1 species
UACGUAGGGUGCAAGCGUUAAUCGGAAUUACUGGGCGUAAAGCGUGCGCAGGCGGCUUUGCAAGACAGAUGUGAAAUCCCCGGGCUUAACCUGGGAACUGCAUUUGUGACUGCAUGGCUGGAGUGCGGCAGAGGGGGAUGGAAUUCCGCGUGUAGCAGUGAAAUGCGUAGAUAUGCGGAGGAACACCGGUGGCGAAGGCGGUGAGCUGGGCAGUUGCUGACACUGAGGCGCGACAGCGUGGGGAGCAAACAGG